AGAGUUUGAUCAUGGCUCAGGACGAACGCUGGCGGCGUGCUUAACACAUGCAAGUCGAGCGAGAGAGUUCCUUCGGGAACAAUCUAGCGGCGGACGGGUGAGUAACACGUGGGCAACCUGCCUUAUAGAGGGGAAUAGCCUUCCGAAAGGAAGAUUAAUACCGCAUAGUAUCCAAUUACCGCAUGGUGAAUGGAUGAAAG
rnacentral:rRNA from 1 species